GUCUCCUACGGGGGGCAGCAGUGGGGAAUAUUGGGCAAUGGACGCAAGUCUGACCCAGCAACGCCGCGUGAAGGAAGAAGGCUUUCGGGUUGUAAACUUCUUUUAAGGGGGAAGAGCAGAAGACGGUACCCCUUGAAUAAGCCACGGCUAACUACGUGCCAGCAGCCGCGGUAAUACGUAGGGGGCAAGCGUUGUCCGGAUUUACUGGGUGGAAAGGGCGUGCAGCCGGAGAGACAAGUCAGAUGUGAAAUCCGCAGCGUCAACCUGCGAACUGCAUUUGAAACUGAUUCCCUUGAG
rnacentral:rRNA from 1 species